rnacentral:misc_RNA from 1 species
UUUCCGUAGGUGAACCUGCGGAAGGAUCAUUAUUGUAAAACCGAGGUGCGAGGGCUGUCGCUGACCCGAAAGGUCGUGCACGCCCGAGUGCCCUCACACACAUCCAUCUCACCCCUAUGUGCACCACCGCGUGGGUCCCCCUUUGGCUUGUUCGGAGGGGGGCUUACGUCUUCACACAAACUUUGUAUGCAGUGUAGAAUGUAUUUUUUGUUUUUGCGAUCACGCAAUCAAUACAACUUUCAACAACGGAUCUCUUGGCUCUC